rnacentral:rRNA from 1 species
UACGAAGGGGGCUAGCGUUGCUCGGAAUUCCUGGGGGUAAAGGGCGCGUAGGCGGACAGUUUAGUCAGAGGUGAAAGCCCAGGGCUCAACCUUGGAAUUGCCUUUGAUACUGGCUGUCUUGAGUUCGGGAGAGGUGAGUGGAAUGCCGAGUGUAGAGGUGAAAUUCGUAGAUAUUCGGAAGAACACCAGUGGCGAAGGCGACUUACUGGACACAUAUUGACGCUGAGGUGCGAAAGCGUGGGGAGCAAACAGG